rnacentral:rRNA from 1 species
UACGUAGGGACCAAGCGUUGUUCGGAAUUACUGGGCGUAAAGCGCACGUAGGCGGAUAUUUAAGUCGGGGGUGAAAUCCCGGGGCUCAACCCCGGAACUGCCUUCGAUACUGGGUAUCUUGAGUACGGAAGAGGUGAGUGGAAUUGCGAGUGUAGAGGUGAAAUUCGUAGAUAUUCGCAGGAACACCAGUGGCGAAGGCAGCUCACUGGUCCGAUACUGACGCUGAGGUGCGAAAGCGUGGGGAGCAAACAGG